rnacentral:lncRNA from 1 species
GUAAAAUUUAAGAAAUAUGUCUGCUUUGAAACGACUCUCAUCUGUAACCGAAGAAAUCUGUUCUGUUUGUGAUACUAAAAAGUGUACUUGCAUAUGAUCAUCCUUCUUCUUUUUCAGAUUACCUAAGCACACUCGCCCAACUCAGGGCCCAGCGUGUUGCGCCGAGUGCGGUGGUGGACACAUUCGACAAAGAGAAUCCUAGAUGACUAACCUCGUGGCAUGAAGAUUCACGAAAAUGCAUCCUCCAAAUGAAGCAAGAACGCCCAGUGCAUAGCGGCACACGUCACAAGAAAAAUACACCUCUUCCAGGCACAAUACACUGAACUGGCAGCUCACAUCAU